GAUGAACGCUGGCGGCGUGCCUAAUACAUGCAAGUCGAGCGAACGGACGAGAAGCUUGCUUCUCUGAUGUUAGCGGCGGACGGGUGAGUAACACGUGGAUAACCUACCUAUAAGACUGGGAUAACUUCGGGAAACCGGAGCUAAUACCGGAUAAUAUUUUGAACCGCAUGGUUCAAAAGUGAAAGACGGUCUUGCUGCCACUUAUAGAUGGAUCCGCGCUGCAUUAGCUAGUUGGUAAGGUAACGGCUUACCAAGGCAACGAUGCAUAGCCGACCUGAGAGGGUGAUCGGCCACACUGGAACUGAGACACGGUCCAGACUCCUACGGGAGGCAGCAGUAGGGAAUCUUCCGCAAUGGGCGAAAGCCUGACGGAGCGACGCCGCGUGAGUGAUGAAGGUCUUCGGAUCGUAAAACUCUGUUAUUAGGGAAGAACAUAUGUGUAAGUAACUGUGCACAUCUUGACGGUACCUAAUCAGAAAGCCACGGCUAACUACGUG
rnacentral:rRNA from 1 species